GAUGAACGCUGGCGGCGUGCCUAAUACAUGCAAGUCGAGCGAACGGACGAGAAGCUUGCUUCUCUGAUGUUAGCGGCGGACGGGUGAGUAACACGUGGAUAACCUACCUAUAAGACUGGGAUAACUUCGGGAAACCGGAGCUAAUACCGGAUGAUAUUUUGAACCGCAUGGUUCAAAAGUGAAAGACGGUCUUGCUGUCACUUAUAGAUGGAUCCGCGCUGCAUUAGCUAGUUGGUAAGGUAACGGCUUACCAAGGCAACGAUGCAUAGCCGACCUGAGAGGGUGAUCGGCCACACUGGAACUGAGACACGGUCCAGACUCCUACGGGAGGCAGCAGUAGGGAAUCUUCCGCAAUGGGCGAAAGCCUGACGGAGCAACGCCGCGUGAGUGAUGAAGGUCUUCGGAUCGGAAAACUCUGUUAGUGGGAAGAACAUAUGUGUAAGUAACUGUGCACAUCUUGACGGUACCGAAUCAGAAAGCCACGGCAAACUACGU
rnacentral:rRNA from 1 species